rnacentral:rRNA from 1 species
CAGCCGCCGCGGUAAGACGAACCGUGCGAACGUUAUUCGGAAUCACUGGGCUUAAAGCGCGUGUAGGCGGGACGGCACGUCGACUGCUGAAAUCCCUCGGCUUAACCGAGGAAGUGGCAUCGAUACGACCGUCCUGGAGGAACGUAGGGGGACCUGGAACUUCCGGUGGAGCGGUGAAAUGCGUUGAGAUCGGAAGGAACGCCCGUGGCGAAAGCGAGGUCCUGGACGUUUUCUGACGCUGAGGCGCGAAAGCUAGGGGAGCGAACGGGAUUAGAUACCCCCGUAGUCCCUGUCUCUUAUA